rnacentral:tRNA from 1 species
GGGUGGAUUGCUAGGGAUGCUACAGUAUUAUAAAUCAAUGCCUUAGUGUCCGCAUAUGUCCAUGAAAGACCCUAAAUUCUGCCUUCACACGGCAGGUGUCGCAGGUUCGAUCCCUGCACCGCCCACCA